GGUUUGUGGCUCAGUGGUAGAGCACUCAUCUGGCAUGCAUGAGGCACUGGGUUUGAUCCUCAGCACCA
rnacentral:tRNA from 1 species